rnacentral:rRNA from 1 species
UACGUAGGGGGCAAGCGUUGUCCGGAUUUAUUGGGCGUAAAGAGCGUGUAGGCGGCCAUACAGGUCAGCUGUGAAAACUCGAGGCUCAACCUCGAGACGUCGGUUGAAACCGUAUGGCUAGAGUCCGGAAGAGGAGAGGUGGAAUUCCCGGUGUAGCGGUGAAAAUGCGCAGAUAUCGGGAAGAACACCCCGUGGCGAAGGCGGCUCUCUGGGGACGGUACUGACGCUGAGACGCGGAAAAGCGUGGGGAGCGAACAGG